UGUAGAAAUCCACUCCUGCUUGGAUGAUAAUGUGAUGUCACAAUGAGGAGGUUCAGAAGGCAGCAGAAUAUAAAACUUGCAUGUCUCGAUGCAAACUCUCACAAGUAACUUCAGAGCCAAAGUGCCAGUGAAACGUAGCCUUUUACAAAUGACAACUAUCUGAGACCAAUCCUGCAUUUUGCAAAUCACUUCAUGUCUAGUCCCAAGAAUCUGUGGCUUCAGACAUGCUUUUAAGAAAAACAGUGAGACUUGAGACAGAGAGAAAAAGAUUUCCUCUUGAUUUUACAUAAGCAUUGAAAAACAUUUAACUGAUUACAGUCUUCAAGGAACAUUUUCCCUAUAUCCAUUAAAGCAUUUAAAAUGUA